rnacentral:rRNA from 1 species
GUCCGAUUAGUUAGUUGGUGGGGUAAGAGCCUACCAAGGCAGCGAUCGGUAGCUGGUCUGAGAGGAUGAGCAGCCACACUGGGACUGAGACACGGCCCAGACUCCUACGGGAGGCAGCAGUGGGGAAUUUUCCGCAAUGGGCGCAAGCCUGACGGAGCAACGCCGCGUGUGGGAAGAAGGCUCUUGGGCUGUCAACCACUUUUCUCAGGGAAGAAGUCCUGACGGUACCUGAGGAAUCAGCCUCGGCUAACUCCGUGCCAGCAGCCGCGGUAAUACGGAGGAGGCAAGCGUUAUCCGGAAUUAUUGGGCGUAAAGCGUCCGCAGGGGGCACUUCAAGUCUGCUGUCAAAGGUCGGAGCUUAACUCCGGUUCGGCAGUGGAAACUGGAGCGCUAGAGGGCGACAGGGGUAGAGGGAAUUCCCAGUGUAGCGGUGAAAUGCGUAGAGAUUGGGAAGAACACCGGUGGCGAAAGCGCUCUACUGGGUCGCACCUGACCCUCAGGGACGAAAGCUAAGGUAGCGAAAGGGAUUAGAUACCCCUGUAGUCUUAGCCGUAAACGAUGGAUACUAGGCGUGGUUUGUAUCGACCCAAGCCGUGCCGAAGCUAACGCGUUAAGUAUCCCGCCUGGGGAGUACGCACGCAAGUGUGAAACUCAAAGGAAUUGACGGGGGCCCGCACAAGCGGUGGAGGAUGUGGUUUAAUUCGAUGCAACGCGAAGAACCUUACCAGGGCUUGACAUCCCNGCGAAUUCUUGCUGAAAGGCGAGAGUGCCUUCGGGAGCGCGGAAGACNAGGUGGUGCAUGGCUGUCGUCAGCUCGUGUCGUGAGAUGUUGGGUUAAGUCCCGCAACGAGCGCAACCCUCGUCCUUAGUUGCCAGCAUUAAGUUGGGCACUCUAGGGAGACUGCCGGUGACAAACCGGAGGAAGGUGAGGAUGACGUCAAGUCAGCAUGCCCCUUAUGCUCUGGGCAACACACGUCCUACAAUGGUCGGGACAAAGGGGAGCAAGCUCGCGAGAGUAAGCGAAUCCCAGCAAACUCGGCCUCAGUUCAGAUG